UCAGAGGAAAUCUGUUCAUCUACCCCUUACAAAGGAGACUUUUUCAACUUGGUUGCAGUGGUAGAUCCUAUUCCACUGGAAAGGCCAACACUAAUUAGGAAUGAGAAUUUUUAUGAGAUAACCAUCACUCUGUCCUCAGUAUAUACCUAUAUUUCAGAAUGACUAGACAUACAUUGAGGAUACCAUUUGAAAAAAGAUUUUCUUCACAUUAUGGAUGCUGGGGCAACAGGAAAGUUUUAGAGCUGCAGGAAACCAAACCCAUUUAGCUAAAAGUACUGCAAAUGUCUUUUUUUUUUAAGUUGAUGAAAAUCAAAGAAGCUUUACGAGUAGAAUCUUGGAAAAAAAAUCUGCUGUUUUCAAAGUAACACAUCAUAAAAGCAACCGAUAAAUAUGUGGCUAUUUUCAAGCAUACCUGGAAUAGUGGGCAUGAUUGAUGCAACACAUAUUGUCCCACACCAUAACGCAAAUGACGAUUAUUAUAGAACUAAUGUUCACUCUAUUAUUCUACAGGCAGUGUGAAAAAAGAAAAUGUAUGGAUAUCAUUGUUAGUACCCUUGCCAGAGUACAUGGCGCAAGAGUUUUUAAAAUUAGCCCUGUCAGUCAGCAUUUAAUAGGUGAUAAUGCUUAUCCACUUUGUUUAUUUCUCUUAAAACCAUAUACAGAUAGUGGAUGUGUGACACCUCAGCAAGUAUGAUUUAAUACAUUGCCUAGUUCUAUACGUGUUUUAAUUCAACAAUGUUUUGGAUUAUAAGAAAAAUUUAGAAGGUUGAAAUAUUUAGAAAUGAGCAGGGCUGACAAAAUUCUAUUAGUUAUAACUGCAGCAUGUGUGUUACAUAACCUAAUUAUACCUUAUGAAAACUCUGAUCCGCAAGAAAUAGAAUGUAUAGCUAGAUAAUAAAGAAUUGAAUUUAAGGACAGAUGGAAAGAGACUACAUAGCAAAUGUAUUAUGAGUUGAC